CCGGGGCCCGGCCCCGCCGCAGGGGAGGCGGAGGCGAGCCCGCCCCGCACCGCUCCGCAGCCCGGCCCCGGCCCGCUCUGCCGCAGGAUUUAAGGACACUGCUCUCACACACUGGUUAUAUCAGCGUGAACAACUGCAGAAUGACUUGGGGAAAACUGCAGAACUCACCAUGUCAAAAAUCAUCAUUCUUUAUCAAGUGGAUCAUGGCAGCACCCGGAGGCCCCAUUCAGGGCUCACAGCUCCAUUGUGUCGGAUACUGUAGACACAUGUAAUAAGAGAGAUGGUCUAUGCCCAAAGAGCUUAUGAUCUUAACCCAUGAUGAAAGACAACAGGUGUAUAGUACAAACCCAUGGGGGAAGGAUAAGGGAAAAACAGCCUUGAGAAUAAAAAGCAACAGGCCCAGCCGGUGACAAGUGUUUGGUGUCAGAAGGAAGUUUUAAGGAGAUUUGAAGGAGAACAAUAAAGGAGCUUUACGGUUA